GUAUCUGACUCAGGAGUCCGUGGGUAUGACUUGCUGGACUUUUGCCAUGUCAGAAGACCCCAAGGACCCUCCAAUUUAAGAAUCACCAGUAUGGCUAUCAUUGUCAUUAUAACCAGAAGCCCAGAGUGUCCACCUCUCCACCCUGGAAGAUAGAUAUACCUUGGAAGAUACACCUUGGCCAGUGACAGGGCCUGGGGAUGAUACACCAGGAGAGAGUAUAUACCUAUAUCAGAGCCCUGAUCUGCUGCAGUCCUAUCACCCACGUAGAGAAGAUACACCUCACUCUGAGGCCCUGAAGAUGAGGCUGGUUCAGAACAGGGGGCGCCUUGAAGGCACCAGGGCAGCUGCCCAACAGGCUGGAUGUAAAAUGUCCCCGGCUCCAUGGAAUAAUCCAGGCAAUUGUGCCUCAGGCCUGGGAGGCAGAAAAGCCAGCAGCAGUUCCAUGCCAGGUGGAAGACAGCCUAUAUCUGAUGCCCUCAGGUUGGCCAUCAGCACAGACUCCUCCUUGGAGAUGGCCCUCUGUGUCAUGGGGAUGGACUGGCACCUGCCUGAGGCUAAGGCUGCUCACAGCCACCCCCUGCUCAAGAUUAUAGGCUAACUAGAGAUGGCUUGGGAGCCUUGGGGACCAGGAACAAGGGCACUACGGAGCUCCUCCCAGACAUCUCUUGCUGCUGCCACUGGUUGGGUGACUCAAGCCUGCCUCCCUCAAGGGGUGUUGCAAUGUUCAAAUGAGAUCAUGUAGAUGAAGAUGAAGCCCUUCAGGAACUGUCAAGCUCUCCACAGACGGAGCAUGUGCUUAGCCCCUCCUGCAGUAAGACCCAACCCUCUAGCCAAGAGCCUGACCAGCAUUGCUUGCCGAUGACACAAGGAAGAGGGCUGCGGUGGAGCCUCGGAAUGUUCCCUGCUGGCAGCGGGGGAUCUCCUGUGCAGUUUGGGGGCAGGGCCUCUUCUCUCCUUCCCUGCGUCAUCUCACUUCGCUGCCCUCCUGGGACUGCAUGGAGCGGGUGUCAGUGCUGCCUUUACUGGGCACGAAGUCACUUUCACUACCUUGAGGCCAGGUUUUCCAACCCGUACUUCCCCAUCCUCCACUCCCUUCUGACAUCCGUUUCGUCCUCCUUUUCUGAAUUACCCCAGAGGAUAGGGGAGGAGGAAGGUAAGUGUAGGGGAGGGAAGAGUGCUAGGCAGGUCCAGCGCCAGCCAGACACGCUGGAGGAAUCAGCCAGGCCCGUGAGGGGGCGCCCGUGGGUGGCUGAAGUUUGUUUCUCCACCGAAGCAGACGCCGGUGGCUUGUGGCUUCCCCCGUCUGGAGACGGCCCGCUGCACCAUCUGUGUUCUUUCCCCACCACAGUCACAGAUGCACCCACGGGCCUGGAACAGCCUGGCUGCCGGAGAAACAGAAUCUCUACCUUGUUCCUCUUCGUGGGGAAAUACAAAAGCCGUCCGUCUGUAAAGAAAAGAAGAGCCAGGCCGUCUUUCCAAUCAGGCCAGAGGGGGUGUUUCUGA
rnacentral:lncRNA from 1 species